UCUUGAAAACGUUGCGUAAUGAUGACGUGUACGCUUGACGUCACAGUCUGUUAGGAAUAAAAGCGCUGCGCAUACACACAGCUAAAAGUCGUCUGCUUUAACGGCAUAAUUACACAGUAUUUUGGAGAUCUGUGUUGCUGAAUCUUUUGCAAUUUGUUCAAUUAAUAUUGGAGAAGUCAAAGACGGAGUUGGGAAGUUUUAGCCUUUAGCCACACAAACACACAGUGAUUCCUUGUUUAAAAUUCACGGAGGUGAAACAUUACUAUGGAUCAGAGCGGACAUGGAUCCCAACCGAAUGUCAAACAGCAGGUUUCGCUGCCGUCGACUUCCCUGAGACAGUGCGCGUCAACACCCGGCCGUGGACAUACACUUCCGACUAUCAGUCUGGAUGCUGCGUCACGGCUGACUCCACAGCUCCAACUUGUUCUCCUGCUCUGAUUGGCUGCAGCCUCCCAACAUGGCACGACCUGAUUGGCUACCUCUCGGCAGCAG